rnacentral:rRNA from 1 species
CACUCUAGCAUUAAUAGUAUUAGAGGCACCGCCUGCCCAGUGACUAUAAGUUAAACGGCCGCGGUAUCCUGACCGUGCAAAGGUAGCAUAAUCAUUUGUUCUCUAAUUAAGGACUUGUAUGAAAGGCUAGACGAGGGCUUAACUGUCUCUUUCUUCCAAUCAGUGAAAUUGACCUUCCCGUGAAAAGGCGGGAAUAACCAAAUAAGACGAGAAGACCCUAUGGAGCUUAAAUUUAUUACUUCAAAUACCACACAAACAACCCAAUAUGGAUUAAAAAAGUAUUAAUGAAUUAAAAAUUUCGGUUGGGGUGACCUCGGAGAAUAAAACAACCUCCGAAUGAUUAACAACCAUGACAAACCUGUCUAAGUACAAAAUCAUAAAUUGAUCCAAACUAUUGAUCAACGAAACAAGUUACCCUAGGGAUAACAGCGCAAUCCUAUUCAAGAGUCCAUAUCGACAAUAGGGUUUACGACCUCGAUGUUGGAUCAGGACAUCCAAAUGGUGCAGCAGCUAUUAAUGGUUCGUUUGUUCAACGAUUAAAGUCC